rnacentral:rRNA from 1 species
GGCUAACGCUGGCGGCGUGUCUUAGCCAUGCAAGUCGAGCGGACUUAUGGGGUAACUUAUAAGUCAGCGGCGGACGGCGGAGUAACACGUAGCUAACCUACCCUCUGGACGGGGAUAACCUACCGAAAGGUGGGCUAAUACCCGAUGUAGUCAUCCUGUAUAGGGGUGAUGAAAGGUGGGCUUCUGUUUACAAGCUCAUGCUGGAGGAGGGGGCUGCGGCCUAUCAGGUAGUUGGUAGGGUAAUAGCCUACCAAGCCGAUGACGGGUAGCCGGCCUGAGAGGGUGACCGGCCCGAGGGGCACUGAGAUACGGGUCCCACUCCUACGGGAGGCAGCAGGCUAGAAAUUUGGGCAAUGGGGGAAACCCUGACCCAGUGACGCCGCGUGCAGGAAGGAGCCCUUCGGGGUGUAAACUGCUGUCGUGUAGGGAGAAGGGUACUAAGGUGAACAAUCUUAGUACUUGACGGUUACUACAGGAGGAAGCCCAGGCUAACCUCGUG